AUAUAAACAUAACAGAUGCACCAGAAUACAUAGAAAGAACACUAAUAGGAACAGUGAAAUUAUGGUUUUCAAAUUUAACUAAAAAUAGCAAGAAGAUAUUAAGAACUAAUAAACCUACAGAAGGAACAUCAUCAACAACAACUAAACUAACACCUAUAGAAUUAUUAAAAAAAUAUGAAACAGCUAUAAAAGAUGAAUUUGGUAGUAUGACAACAAUAG
rnacentral:lncRNA from 1 species